rnacentral:lncRNA from 1 species
UCAAUUCCAAAGGCUGCCAAACAUCGCAUGAAAUCCACUUUUUCGGUUUGAAGGAUCUUCACGACAUUUACGGUGCUUGUCAUCGACAUAUCAGCAACAAGGAUUAGUACAUGUAAGAAACGAACAGUAACUCACCAUAACCAGCGUAGCUCCACGCAGUACGUAAGCAGUGGAAAGCUCCUGGAAAACCAAGCCUUGAAGCACCCCGUCUUCAGGUAACGCAGUCCACAUGAAGAGCUCCAGGUCUUUCGGUUUCAUGCUCGUAAGAGCCAGAGUGAAUUGAGCCUGGACUUUUACACUGCAAAAGUCGAGGUAGUAAUCUUGGAACGAAGAGCUCUUGGCCGGUUUAAAAUGUAGGAGCCGCCAGGAUAUAUCCUCCCCUCGGGAUUUGCCUCGCGUGCUUCCCAAGAGGCGUAGGAGGUUGGUGUUGUUUAACGAUUUCUGGACUUUCUUCAAGAAUCCUCCUUGGUUCAAACUCGGGGUGUCACCAGACCAGAGCUUUCUCACGACGCCUCCGAACCAUUUGUAGUACUCUGGAGCAGCUUCCACACGCUGGAAGCCGGCCUGCACCUGUUUCUCGAGCGUUUCGAUGAGCACCUGGAGUUGAAAAGCUAACUCUCUUGCUGGCCGUCCCUGCUCCUUGACAUCUUCCCGCAGCAUUCUCUGUACGCGUUCGUUCAAAAUGGGAACUGCCGCUAAAUCUGCACAGCUCGUUGAAUAUUCCACCAUGGACUCCCCAAACUGAUACGUCACCUUCGCCCACUCCUCAAGCUUGCGCAGGCUAGCCUGGAUAGUUUUCAUCUCAGCUUCGACGUUCUGGUAAUGAACCCUCCACAACCCCACCAAGGCUGUGUACUCGUCUUCCUCCCACGGGUACAUGUACAUAACAGUCUUCUUCCGGUCGGCCUUGGCAGCUUUGACAUUUUCCGCUGCUGGCGAAGCCGCAACUAAUAGAACACGUCCGAGAGCACCAUCUGUGGGGACUUUUUGAUUUAUCAGAUGCCAGGGGGCAUUGAUAAAUGUGCCCAGAGAGACUUCGUCGCGCUUUGCCACAUGGACCGUAUUGCCUCUGAACUCCCAUAUGAAGCCGGCAGACUCGUAGAGAAUGCGCAGCUCGGAAUCUCUUAACAAUAUAGCGGCUCUGAUGAUGAAGUACCAAAGGAAUGCUGACUUGCCCACGCCAGAGUUGCCGUUUAGAUGGCAAAUCCAAUCGCCAUUAGCCUCUGUAGCCCUGGAAGUGAUCGCCUCAAAUAAAGGGCCGUACGUCCUCCUUACGUACAGGCCGGAAAGCCUCUUGUCUGCUCCUCGGAGGACCGUCAGCCUUGCAUCGAACAUCUUGAUAACCUUGCCCGCUGCAAUGUCCUCGAGCUUCAAACUCCAGACAUAAUCCUGCCACCAGGAUUGAAGCGAUUGCAACACU